AUUGAACGCUGGCGGCAGGCCUAACACAUGCAAGUCGAGCGAGCGGCGGACGGGUGAGUAACACGUGGGUAACUACCCAUCAGAGGGGGAUAACUACUGGAAACGGUGGCUAAUACCGCAUACUAUCGGGUAACCCAUAUGGGAUUAGCUAGUAGGUGGGGUACAGGCUCACCUAGGCGACGAUCCCUAGCUGGUCUUAGAGCAUGAUCAGCCACACUCGGACUUAGCCACGUCCCAGCCUCCUACGGAGGCAGCAGUGGGGAAUAUUGCACAAUGGGCGCAAGCCUGAUGCAGCCAUGCCGCGUGUAUGAAGAAGGCCUUAGGGUUGUAAAGUACUUUCAGCGGGUAGGCGUUACCCGCAUAAGAAGCACCGGCUAACUCCGUGCCAGCCGCCGCGGUAAUUC
rnacentral:rRNA from 1 species